rnacentral:rRNA from 1 species
GAUGAACGCUGGCGGCGUGCCUAAUACAUGCAAGUAGAACGCUGAAGGAGGAGCUUGCUCUUCUGGAUGAGUUGCGAACGGGUGAGUAACGCGUAGGUAACCUGCCUGGUAGCGGGGGAUAACUAUUGGAAACGAUAGCUAAUACCGCAUGACAACCGUUAUUGCAUGAUAACUGUUUAAACGUGGCAACUGCUCCACUACCAGAUGGCCCUGCCUUGUAUUAGGUAGUUGGUGAGGUAACGGCUCACCAAGGCGACGAUACAUAGCCGACCUGAGAGGGUGGACGGCCAAACUGGGAAUGGGACACGGCCCAGGAUCCUAAGGGGAGCAGCAGGAGGGGAACUUCGGAAAUGGAGGGAAGGCUGACCGAGGAAAGCCGGGGGGGGGAAGAAGGGUGUCGGAUCGGAAAGCUCUGUUGUAAGGGAAGAAAGAGUGGGAGAGUGGAAAGUUCACGUUGUGACGGUAUCUUAACAGAAAGCGACGGCUAACUACGUG